rnacentral:rRNA from 1 species
UACGUAGGGGGCAAGCGUUGUCCGGAUUUAUUGGGCGUAAAGAGCGUGUAGGCGGCCAGAUAGGUCCGUUGUGAAAACUCGAGGCUCAACCUCGAGACGCCGAUGGAAACCAUCUGGCUAGAGUCCGGAAGAGGAGAGUGGAAUUCCUGGUGUAGCGGUGAAAUGCGCAGAUAUCAGGAGGAACACCAAUGGCGAAGGCAGCUCGCUGGGACGGUACUGACGCUGAGGCGCGAAAGCGUGGGGAGCAAACAGG